rnacentral:rRNA from 1 species
AGGGUUUGAUCCUGGCUCAGAACGAACGCUGGCGGCGUGGAUAAGACAUGCAAGUCGAACGAGAACUAUGAAUAGCUUGCUAAUUGUAGUUCUAGUGGCGGACGGGUGCGUAACACGUGAGCAACCUACCCUAAAGUGGGGGAUAGCCUUUCGAAAGGAAGAUUAAUACCGCAUGUGAUCUUAGGAUCAAAGAUGGCUUCGGCUGUCGCUUUGGGAUGGGCUCGCGGCCUAUCAGUUAGUUGGUGAGGUAACGGCUCACCAAGACGACGACGGGUAGCUGGUCUGAGAGGACGAUCAGCCUCACUGGAACUGAGACACGGUCCAGACACCUACGGGUGGCAGCAGUCGAGAAUCAUUCACAAUGGACGAAAGUCUGAUGGUGCAACGCCGCGUGGAGGAUGAAGGCCCUAGGGUCGUAAACUCCUGUCAUCGGAGAGUAAGCCUUGAUCGUUAAUAGCUUCCAAGGUUGAUAGUAUCCGAAGAGGAAGGGACGGCUAACUUCGUGCCAGCAGCCGCGGUAAUACGAAGGUCCCAAGCGUUGUUCGGAAUCACUGGGCGUAAAGAGUAUGUAGGCGGUUUGGAAAGUCAGAUGUGAAAGCCCGGGGCUCAACCUCGGAACUGCAUCCGAUACUCCCGGACUUGAGUAAUGGAGGGGUAACUGGAAUUCUCGGUGUAGCAGUGAAAUGCGUAGAUAUCGAGAGGAACACUCGUGGCGAAGGCGAGUUACCGGACAUUUACUGACGCUGAGAUACGAAGGCUAGGGUAGCGAAAGGGAUUAGAUACCCCUGUAGUCCUAGCAGUAAACG